rnacentral:rRNA from 1 species
CCCUUAGAUGUUCUGGGCUGCACGCGCGCUACACUGAUGCGUUCAACGAGUUUACGACCUUGCCAGACAUGGCUGGGUAAUCUUCUUAAACUGCAUCGUGAUGGGGAUAGAUUAUUGCAAUUAUUGAUCUUCAACGAGGAAUUCCUAGUAAGCGCGAGUCAUCAGCUUGCAUUGAUUACGUCCCUGCCCUUUGUACACACCGCCCGUCGCACCUACCGAUUGAAUGGUCCGGUGAAAUCUUCGGAUCUGAGAGAUGUCUGAUUAAUUUCGGACGCCUUUUGGAAAAGUUGCUUAAACCUUACCAUUUAGAGGAAGGUGAAGUCGUAACA